AUACGUAUAGUUUAUUUGGUAAAACAUAUGAUUUCCACUUAUAGGAGAGGGGUUCAAAUCCCCUUAUGUAUA
rnacentral:tRNA from 1 species